UACGAUUACCCAAUAUAACGUGAUAUUAUAAAUCGUCAUACAUGAAAUAGACCCAUAAAUCCAACAUCCAACCCCAACACCCCAAACAACCCUUCGUCAACACUAAACCCAAUACCUUUCCACACGUUAACAUUUCCACCUCAGCACAACAAACCAACCCGUAGGGAAAACUAAACCCAAACCCCCACCCCACCCCCAUAAACCCUAAACCCAAUACAAUG
rnacentral:lncRNA from 1 species